UCCUUCUUCAGCAUCUCAGCGAAGUAUGGCGCUGAGGGCCGCUCAGCUUCCAAUGCCUGCCAGAAUUCACCUCACCACUCCUCAGUUUGCUGCAAACGCCCAACUUUCAUGGCGUCGUACUGUAUCGCCCAACCCAAUCGUCCUUCUCCCUUUCCUUUCACUUUCUACCUCUACUGGAGGAAUAUUGCAUAGAAGCCCGCCAGUGAGCUGCACGGCGCAGGUUCAGACGACGGGGGCGGUGAAUCUAGGUCCUGGCACUCCUGUCAGGGCAACGAGUAUACUGGUGGUUGGCGCUACCGGAACUCUUGGAAGGCAGGUUGUGAGGCGCGCGCUUGACGAAGGCUACGACGUUAGGUGCCUCGUCAGGCCUAGGCCUGCUCCAGCUGACUUCCUUCGAGAUUGGGGAGCCACUGUUGUCAAUGCAGACCUCAGUAAACCAGAGACAAUUCCUGCCACGUUGGUUGGAAUACACACGGUGAUCGACUGUGCCACCGGACGUCCGGAGGAGCCCAUUAAAACUGUUGAUUGGGAAGGAAAAGUUGCUCUUAUACAAUGUGCUAAGGCAAUGGGAAUUCAGAAAUAUGUCUUCUAUUCCAUCCAUAACUGCGAUAAACAUCCAGAGGUUCCACUGAUGGAGAUCAAAUAUUGCACCGAGAAGUUUCUCCGUGAUUCAGGCCUCCAACACAUCAUUAUCCGUUUAUGUGGUUUCAUGCAAGGUCUUAUUGGGCAGUACGCGGUUCCAAUCCUGGAAGAGAAAUCUGUUUGGGGUACCGAUGCCCCAACAAGAAUUGCUUACAUGGACACCCAGGAUAUAGCUCGCUUGACAUUUAUAGCCUUACGGAAUGAGAAAGUAAAUGGGAAACUUCUUACAUUUGCUGGUCCUCGUGCAUGGACAACGCAAGAGGUGAUAACGUUGUGUGAGAGGCUUGCUGGUCAAGAUGCCAACGUGACUACAGUUCCAGUCUCCAUUUUAAGACUCACUCGUCGGUUGACCCGGUUUUUUGAAUGGACAAAUGAUGUUGCUGACAGAUUAUCCUUUUCAGAGGUGCUAACAAGCGACACCGUUUUCUCUGUUCCGAUGGCAGAGACAUAUGAUCUUCUUGGCGUGGAUCAGAAAGAUAUAAUUACAUUGGAGAAGUAUUUGCAGGACUACUUCACAAACAUAUUGAAGAAAUUGAAGGAUCUUAAAGCACAGUCAAAGCAAACGGAUAUAUACCUCUGAAAGAUGGGUUUAUGGGGGGGAAAAAAGAAUGUCGUCAUUACUUCAUGGUAGGAACUGAUGAUAAAGCCGAUCAAUUCUCAAAUGUUUGGGAUCAUGAACGCGGAGGCCCUUGCCAAUUGCAUCCAAGUUCUCCACAGGCCAUUACUAAACUGGUACUCAACCAAAAUGACUUGAAAGGGAAGAGAGACAGAAAGCACUCUCAAAUGAAAGGAAAUUCUUCUGUUUAUUCUUGUUUUCACGGUCCGGCCCAGGUCUACGAAAGGAAAUUCUGACAGGUCCAUAAGGCUUCAGCGUUCAACUUCUACUUGUCCAGUUCAAGAUGACUCUGAAUUUUAUGGACGGAGUAUGGUCUGGCUGGGCUAUUCAGAUCGGCCCAGUAAAAAAUAAUUUCUACGUAUGGUUACUGAAGUAUAACUAAGUUUCGGUCAGUGGAAAUGUAUAAUGAUUAGAAGCAAAAUAUGAUAUCGAAGCACUCACUUCCCAAACAAUGGUAACACUUGGAGGAAAAUAUAACAUUGUUGAUCAAGUGUGACGAAUUCUCCUGUAAUUAACAAGGGUGGAAAUUGACAGUGAAGUAAGCAAUAAUAAUAUAUUCAAACUAUAUUUGGGGAUGUAGUAGGUAUAGUGAGAAUACCAAUCCUACAAGGAAAACGAAGUGACUAGAAUGAAAUCUUGCCAUCAAGUCGUCGUCUAGCUUAUGUGGACUCUACUUUGUCGUCGAGUUUGCAUGUUUGCUUCCGUCAUCUUGCUAUCCAGAGAAAAAGGAUGAAGAGGAGAAGCAACCACGGUGAAGUGCGAAGGUCCUAAUUCUGGCCAAUUAUUUCCUGACACACGUUUCCUCCGAUGAUGCACAAUUGCUCUGCUUUUCUUCGAUUAUGUGAUUUUUAAAUCUUGAAUUUCAUAUUAUCAAGUAUAUUUUAAUUCAUUUA